rnacentral:rRNA from 1 species
AACGUACGCUGGCGGCACGCCUAACACAUGCAAGUCGAACGAAGUAGCAAUACUUAGUGGCAGACGGGUGAGUAACAUGUAGGUAUCUGCCCUUUGGCCUGGAAUAACACGAGGAAACUUGUGCUAAUACCGGAUAAAUCUUUACGGAGAAAGCUUUAUGCACCAUUGGAUGAGCCUGCACUUGAUUAGUUUGUUGGUGGGGUAAUGGCCUACCAAGACUGUGAUCAAUAGCUGAUUUGAGAGGAUGAUCAGCCACAUUGGGACUGAGACACGGCCCAAACUCCUACGGGAGGCAGCAGUGGGGAAUCUUGCACAAUGGAGGAAACUCUGAUGCAGCGAUGCCGCGUGAGUGAAGAAGGCCCUUGGGUUGUAAAGCUCUUUCGUCGGGGAAGAAAAUGACUGUACCCGAAUAAGAAGGUCCGGCUAACUUCGUGCCAGCAGCCGCGGUAAUACGAAGGGACCUAGCGUAGUUCGGAAUUACUGGGCUUAAAGAGUUCGUAGGUGGUUGAAAAAGUUGGUGGUGAAAUCCCAGAGCUUAACUCUGGAACUGCCAUCAAAACUUUUCAGCUAGAGUUUGAUAGAGGAAAGCAGAAUUUCUAGUGUAGAGGUGAAAUUCGUAGAUAUUAGAAAGAAUACCAAUUGCGAAGGCAGCUUUCUGGAUCAUUACUGACACUGAGGAACGAAAGCAUGGGUAGCGAAGAGGAUUAGAUACCCUCGUAGUCCAUGCCGUAAACGAUGUGUGUUAGACGUUGGAAAUUUAUUUUCAGUGUCGCAGCGAAAGCGAUAAACACACCGCCUGGGGAGUACGACCGCAAGGUUAAAACUCAAAUGAAUUGACGGGGACCCGCACAAGUAGUGGAGCAUGUGGUUUAAUUCGAAGAUACGCGCAGAACCUUACCAACACUUGACAUGUUCGUCGCGACUUUAAGAGAUUAGAGUUUUCGGUUCGGCCGGACGAAACACAGGUGCUGCAUGGCUGUCGUCAGCUCGUGUCGUGAGAUGUUGGGUUAAGUCCCGCAACGAGCGCAACCCUCACUUUUAGUUGCCAUCAUUUAGUUGGGCACUCUGAAAGAACUGCCAGUGAUAAGCUGGAGGAAGGUGGGGAUGACGUCAAGUCCUCAUGGCCCUUACGUGUUGGGCUACACACGUGCUACAAUGGUAUCUACAACAGGAAGCAAGACUGCGAAGUUAAGCAAAUCCUUAAAAGAUACCUCAGUUCGGAUUGCACUCUGCAACUCGAGUGCAUGAAGCUGGAAUUACUAGUAAUCGUGGAUCAGCGUGCCACGGUGAAUGCGUUCCCGGGUCU